UCCCUUAGCUUGGGUCCUUAUCCAGCAUACCCGGAAGCUACAGAGAUAGAGAGGAACAGAACAAACACACAACGCGCUCAUCCAUAACAUCGAUAGGAGCUCCAGGCCCAAGUGCCCACCGCCGGCUUCCCAGGAAACUCAGCCCAGCGUCUCACCUCCUUGUGGGUCGGCACCGGCCAAAGGAGGCCAAAUCAAUGAGCACUAUGGUCGUCUAGGCAAUGUGCCCACGCAUGCCUGAUUCUGCCCGUUACACGCCUAGCACUUUAUGAAGGACACGUGCCCUCGCGACAGAAGACUGAUCACACGGAACGGAGACCUGCGGUAGUCAGGCUGGAAAAUCCAAGCAGCCAACCUCACAUCUGGCAACUCAUUUCUAUGCACAUAGUAAGUGGCAUAUACAGUUACCGUAUGAUCCUCUGCAGAUAUAGAGACAUACAGUCCUCACAGUGCAUACAGAAACCAUGCAGUAGGUAGAAGACGGAUGGACCGGCAGACAGACAUUGCAGGAACAACACAGACUCACACGCACACAAACAUGUUGUGCUCAAGACCCACACGGUCAACCAGACUCUCACAAACAGACCAAAAGCUGGCUGUCUCUCCUAGCUACCUUCAGCAGAAGGCUUCUCAAUAAGGACUCCUAUGUUCAUGUGAGGUAAUCUGUUAUGACCAGGGCAGGGAUGGUGCAUGGGGGACAAGAGAGAGAGAAAGAAAGAGAGAAAAACAGAACGAGAGACGGAGACAAGAGAAAGAGUGAGAGAGAGAGAG